UACGAAGGGGGCUAGCGUUGCUCGGAAUCACUGGGCGUAAAGCGCACGUAGGCGGGUCCUUAAGUCGGGGGUGAAAUCCUGGAGCUCAACUCCAGAACUGCCUUCGAUACUGGGGAUCUCGAGUCCGGGAGAGGUGAGUGGAACUCCGAGUGUAGAGGUGAAAUUCGUAGAUAUUCGGAAGAACACCAGCGGCGAAGGCAGCAACUUGGUCUGGUAUUGACGCUCAGGCACGAAAGCAUGGGGAUCAAACAGG
rnacentral:rRNA from 1 species